CCCUUAGAUGUUCUGGGCUGCACACGUGCUACACUGGCAGGUUCAGCGAGCUUCAUGACCUGAUCUGAAAGGAAUGGGAAAUCUUUUCAAAACCUGCCGUGCUUGGGAUAGAUGUUUGCAAUUAUUCAUCUUCAACGAGGAUUGCCUUGUAAGCGCACGUCAUCAGCGUGCAUUGAAUACGACCCUGUAUUCUGUACACACCGCCCGUCGCUCCUACCGAUUGAAGUUUUCGGUGAGUUGACAGGAGGAUUUUUUUGAAACUGGUUCGCCAGUGGAUUUUAGAUCCAAAUGCCAACGAAUCGAUGGCUUUAGAGGAAGGAGAAGUCGUAACA
rnacentral:rRNA from 1 species